rnacentral:rRNA from 1 species
CAGUCGAGCGGUAGAGAGAAGCUUGCUUCUCUUGAGAGCGGCGGACGGGUGAUUAGUGCCUAGGAAUCUGCCUGGUAGUGGGGGAUAACGUUCGGAAACGGACGCUAAUACCGCAUACGUCCUACGGGAGAAAGCAGGGGACCUUCGGGCCUUGCGCUAUCAGAUGAGCCUAGGUCGGAUUAGCUAGUUGGUGGGGUAAUGGCUCACCAAGGCGACGAUCCGUAACUGGUCUGAGAGGAUGAUCAGUCACACUGGAACUGAGACACGGUCCAGACUCCUACGGGAGGCAGCAGUGGGGAAUAUUGGACAAUGGGCGAAAGCCUGAUCCAGCCAUGCCGCGUGUGUGAAGAAGGUCUUCGGAUUGUAAAGCACUUUAAGUUGGGAGGAAGGGCAGUAAAUUAAUACUUUGCUGUUUUGACGUUACCGACAGAAUAAGCACCGGCUAACUCUGUGCCAGCAGCCGCGGUAAUACAGAGGGUGCAAGCGUUAAUCGGAAUUACUGGGCGUAAAGCGCGCGUAGGUGGUUAGUUAAGUUGGAUGUGAAAUCCC